rnacentral:snoRNA from 1 species
AUCAAGUCUCCUUAUAAAAUGUAUACUGGGGUAGUUACUUGUCCUGGUGUGCUAGAGUUCUUGAAGAGGAUCUGAUGGUCUUGGUUCACCGGUGGGGACAGUCAGUGCUCCUAUUGGUGCCCAGAUCAGAAACAUAU